rnacentral:lncRNA from 1 species
AAAUGAGCAGAGGAUGGGCAGGCUGGGCACAGCUGCAGGGCUGGCUCAUCUCAGUAACUCAGCACCAGUUCAGUGUCCCCAGGUGUCCCAGUGAAAAGGAAUCUGUUACAGCAGCUUGAAAUAGAACAAGAGAGACAGCUCACAAUCAGUGAGGACAGGAUGAGGUGUAUACAUACUUCAGCUUCCUCAUCUCUCAGGUGGAACAGCCCGGAGGAAUUUAGUCCAUGUUUCCACAGGUGGUUGAUCUUCAGUUCUCCUGAGUCAGGUCACAAAAUUUUAAAAUGCCUAAACCGCAGCAGCCCGGCAUUCCUCCAGGACCUCCUCCCCCGGGAUCUUGCUUCAAGUGCUGGAAAUCUGGCCACUGGACCGAGGAAUGCCCACAGCCUGGGAUUCCUCCUAAGCCGUGUCCCAUCUGUGCAGGACCCCACUGGAAAUUGGACUGUCCAACUCUCCUGGCAGCCACUCCCAGAGCCACUGGAACUCUGGCCCAAGGCUCUCUGACUGACUCCUUCCCAGAUCUUCUCAGCUUAGCUGCUGAAGACUGAUGCUGCCCAAUCGCCUUGGAAGCCUCCUGGACCAUCACAGACACUUUGGGUAACUCUUACAGUGGAGAGUAAGUCCAUCCCCUUCUUAAUCAAUGUGGAGUCUACCCACUCCACAUUACCUUCUUUUCAACGACCUGUUUCCCUUGCCGCCAUAACUGUUGUGGGUAUUGACGGCCAGGCUUCUAAAUCUCUUAAAACUCCCCAACUCUGUUGCGAACUUGGACAACAUUCUUUUAUGCACUCCUUUUUAGUUAUCCUUACCUGCCCAGUUUCCUUAUUAGGUCGAGACGUUUUAACAAAACUAUCCACUUCCCUGACUAUUCCUGGGCUACAGCCACACCUCAUUGCCACCCUUUUCCUCACUUCAAAGCCUCCUUUGCAUCCUCCCCUGUGUCUCCCUGCCUUAAUCCACAAGUAUGGGAUACCUCUACUCCUUCCUUGGCAACUGAUCAUGCACCCCUUACCAUCCCGUUAAAACCUAAUCACUGUUACCACUAGAGCCUGUUAUCACCCACCUGUUACAACAUGGCCUCUUAAAGCCUACAAAUUCUCCUUACUGAGGGAAGAGAGAGACCCUCUCAUAUUGUUUUAUAUUGUUUUAUACUCAGUACCUGUUUUAAGAGUAAAAAUCAAGGAAGUGAAAUCAGAGACAGGCAGCCCGGCGCCAGGCCUGGGCCUGCCUGGCCUAAACCUAGUAGUUAAAAAUCAUCUCAUGACUUAGCAACCAAUGUUAUCCAUAGAUUCCAAGCAUUGUAUGAAGAACAUUGUGAAACUCCCUGUUCUGUUCUGUUUGACUCUGACUACCAGUGCAUGAAGACCCUGUUACAUAACCCCUAGAUUGCUCAAUCAAUCACGACCCUUUCAUGUAAAAUCUUUAGUGUUGUGAGCCCUUAAAAUGGACAGAAAUUGUGCACUCAAGGAGCUCCGAUUUUAAGACAGUAGCUUGCCGAUGCUCCCAGCUGAAUAAAGCCCUUCCUUCUACAACUCGGUGUCUGAGAGGUUUUGUCCAUGGCUCAUCCUGCUACAUUACAACUCCCCUAUCCUAC